AUGGAGUACAGUGACACAACCUCAGUUCACCUCCCAGGCUCAAGUGAUCCUCCCAUGUCAGCAUCCCCAGUAGCUGGGUCUACAGGCGUUCACCACCAUGCCGGGCUAAUUUUCGGUGUUUUUGGUAGAGACGGGGUUUCGCCAUGUUGCCCAGGCUGGUCUCCAACUCCUGAAAUCAAGCAAUCCAGCCGCCUCAGACUCCCAAAGUGCUAAAUUUACAAGCAUGA
rnacentral:lncRNA from 1 species